CAGCUCUUUCCUUGGCGCUGGCUUUUGCGGAUUCAGUUUUCCCACUUCGGUGGCUCGGAGGGUUCUGCCCUCUGGACCGCGCCCGCCGAAUAUGAAAUUGUUUCCGAACUGAAAAUUGCAUGAUGAUAAUAUACCGAUUAAAACAAAUUUUUUCAACGGAUCACUUGGUUCUUCCGGCAUCGAAGAACAACGCGAGAAAUGCGAUACGUGUGUGAAUUGCAAAAUUCAGAGAAUCAUAAUCUUUUUGAACGCAUUGUGCUCCCUGUGAUUCUCAGGAGUAUGUGCGUGUCCGAUCAUGAUGCUCUCUCCCUAACCUUUGGGUUUAUGGCCUCCAAUUGCAAUGCGCCGAACGUCAUGGUUGGGCCUUCUAAAAUGUACGUCUUGGCUGUCACCUAAUGGGGCUUUUGGCCUACUCUUUUUGGCAUUCAUUGUGCUUGCUUUGGCUAACAUUUGUUCCCCGAGUUGACCUUGAUAAUACAAAGAACUCAUUCUAAUUUUGAUCUGAUCUCAAGUAGGACUAACCGCUGAACUUAAGCAUAUCAAUAAGCGGAGGAA
rnacentral:rRNA from 1 species